rnacentral:RNase_P_RNA from 1 species
CGGUAAGGCAGACAAUCGCCCGUUUUUUCAUGCCAAAUGAAUGAAAAUGGGAGGAAAGUCCGGACUCCAAGAGAACGCGGCAGUGGGUAAUUACCCCGGGGAGCAAUCCCACGGAAAGCGCAACAGAAAAGAAACCGCCGAAAGGCAAGGGUGAAACAGCGAGGCAAGAGCUCACUAUGGUUGCGGAAACGUUAGCCAUUGGCAAGCCCUGCCGGGAGCAAUGCCAGAUUAUAUACUCCAUUUUUGGGACCGGUUCUCAGGUUUUGUAUAUGGGUAGGCAGCUUGAGAUUGCGGGCGACCGCAAUUCUAGAUUAAUGAUUGUCAAAACAGAAUCCGGCUUACGCCUUACCGGCUU